rnacentral:lncRNA from 1 species
UGGGAUUCUUGGGACUUUGUAUUCAAACUGGGCUUGAAAAUCAUAUUGACCAAAUCCUCUUUCUUAAAAUAGGCUGGUAUUGUUGGUACUCCAGCUAACAUAUCCCUUCUUUGGUUUAACAUUGCAUGAAGUCCCAAGGCAGUUUGAAAGCAUCAUGGAAGCAGACUGGCAUCCAUUCUACAGCCCUUGUAAGGAAAAGAAAUAGAAAUUUAUCAGGAUCUGACUCUUGCACAUAAGCAUCUUACGCCAAGUUUGAGAAACCAUUACUUUAUUGUGAAGUCCUAGACACAAGAUUUUCAUACCAAGAGUUCUCCACAACAUCAACAACUUCCUCAUCUAUAAAUAGAGAGUAGGCAGGCCUCGAGAGACAUAAUUUGCAUGACUUCGCUGUGCACAACAAGAACCCAAAACGUGGAAGGAUCCAAUAAGUGAAGAAUCUGUUUUACCUAGACACUCAUGUCCAGUUCCCAUAUCAUAUACAUAUAUGAGUUAGAUACACAUCGGACACUUAGAUACUUAUAGAAGUUUAUUAUUUCAGUUUGUAGAAAUUGGUAGAGAGUUGACUCCAACAAUUAAUUUAUCCACUAAAAGUAAUGUAUAAAUUGAGGUUUUGUUCUUUUCAGAUAUUGGUUAAGAAUGUAUCAAAAUAAUUUUACAAAUUAUCAUGUUUCCAAAAUUUGGAAGUUUGAAUGCGAAACAUGCAUAUAGAUCUUAACGAAUAAUAUCAUUUAAUAUUUACUUUUAUAUGAUAUUUAAAUGCAUAUACUUUAGUUAAAAUUAUUUUUUCUAUAUAUCCUUGUAUCUCUUUUUUCACCUCAUGUUGAGUCAAACACUUAGAAACAUGUCCAAAUUUGAUUCUCAUGUUUGUGCCCAUACAACAAUAACAAUAACUAACCAUGAAUAAUGAAUCCCUUCAAAACCUGAAGAUGGAAAACACACCAGCUGUUGCCAUAUACAGAGAAAGAAAGAGAGAGAGAGAGAGAGAGAGAGAGAGAGAGACCAGCACAGACAACCUCAAAAUUUUGGUGCUUGUGCUUGCCAACUUCACGAACUAAAGAAUGAGGUGGGAGAAGUCAGAGGACCUUCUCUUAUCUAAACAUCACCCUGCAUCAUUUCAAUAUUAGAGAAACUAUACACUUCUUCUAAGUGUUACAUCAGAUGUGAAGAAUGGCACCCUGAGCUUUUGUUAAGUUUCAUCCGUAAAUUAUAAGCUCUUUGCAUAUAUGACUAUCAUGUGGUUAAUUGGAUUGAGCUUUCAGUUUAUAACUCUAUGGCCAUGCUGGGUUGCAUCUUGUUAUUCCUUAGAAACCAAUGGUAGUUGCUGCAUGCUGUCCCAUGUGAACCAACCAAUUAUGUUGAUCAAGGCUCACCCAUAUUCCAAAAUUGAGGGAUAUGGCAGGUUAAACAAUUGUGAUUCAAGUGGUGAAGAUUGCAUGCAUAUGAUAGUUGCUGUUACCCCAAGCCAGGUGAACCAUCACCAAUAUCCUAUGAUGUUGAGUCAAGAAGCCAUGAUCACAUAGCUUCAGCAAGUUAACUGCUAGCAUGUUGACCCAUGCAGAUUUGACAGCAGCACUUCUUUCAAAGCAUAUAAAGCCUGUGAAAGAAGACUCGUCAAGAUUUUUUCUUGCAGGUCUAAUUGGUCAUCCACUUAAAGGCUGCGAAAGAAGACUCAUCAAGAUUUGUUGCUUUCGUAUACCAGCGUGAUCUAAUGGAAGAUCUAGGAGCUAUUGCCUUUGCAAUUCAGACUGUAAAGUCUGAAUUCUGGGCAUAUCUACAGAGACCUGAUAGAUCUAGGAACUGUAGUAUCCUCUCCAUCGAUCUGAUUGGUCAUCUACAAGACCCUGCAAUAAGGCUCAUUAAGCUCCUCUAUUCUCAUAUAUCAGCCUGAUUCAAUGGCAAAUCAAGAGGAUAGCUCCUUGAGUUCAGAUUGCUCAAUCUUAAUUUCAAAUAGUCUUGCAGAUGCCUGAUGAUUCCAGGACCAUAGCAACCUCUUCAUCAAAUCAAUAUGCCAUCAAUCAGAAUCUGCUGAAAGAAGGUUUAUCAAGCCUCUUUGCCUCCAGAUAUCAGCAUGAUUCAACAAUGGAUUCUCAUCAGCAUCCUUUGAAUUUUGGGUCAGCUUUUGAAGCCUUAACAGAUUCAUCAAACAUCUAUUGAUUUCAUAAACUUCUCAAACCAUUUACAAUUAUCUGACCAACGACCUGUUUCGAGCUCAUCCGAAGUACACUUAACAAGCUUCUUUAGAGCCAACUUAGGCCCUGUUUGGGGGAGCUUUUGGAGGGCCAAAAAGCACUUUCUCGCCCUCCAAAAGUAUUAUUGGAUGAAAAAAAAGUGUUUGGUAAAAAUUUUGAAAAGCUGUUUUAGUUUUUCCUUUUGAGAGAAGCUCCAUUUUGGAGCUUUCCGAAAACGUUAUUUUCAGCAUUGUCAGGAAGCUAUUUUUUUUGACCAAAAUACCCCUAUUUAACAGUCCAUUUUUCCUCCCAAAAUCCUCCAUCCCACGCCUCUUCCUCUCUCUCACCCUUCCCUC